rnacentral:lncRNA from 1 species
AAAUUGUUUGGAAAACAAGCCUUGGAGAGGAAGAGCAGUUGGGCAGGUGGCCUUAGAAGCAGAGACAGACGUCCCUGUUGAUACCACUGUUGAUGGAGAAGCACUCGGCUCUCCUCCAUCAGGGGAAACCAAACCUGCCACCCCACCUGGGAUGUGGCCUCCCCAGGGAAAGAGUAGAGAGGCUGGAGCUCUGGCAGAACAGGCCUGGCAAGGGGGCUGGAGGCCAAGGCUGGUGUUGGGGCUCAGAUCAAAGCCAUCAUGCUGCAUGGAGCCCAAUCAGCUGCCAACACUCUUGGUGACACAGAGCCCUCACGCCUCUGGUGGAAGAAGCCAGGGCUGGAUGAAGCUGUGGCGUGCAGCUUCUGCACAGUCUCCGUGGAAUCUCUCCUACUCUCCCGUGAGCCUUUGGAGGCCUUGCAGGAGCUCAGCCUUUCAGCAGAAGGACUGGGUUCAACCGCCCCUGCAGGAGCAGCUCCUUGGCCUCCCAGGCACCAGUGGUUGGGGGCUGCAUCCUCUGUGAGCCUCAGGUCAAGCCCAUACAGUGCCCUAGACUCCUCCCUGCUCUGACCCUGGGCCCAGGAGAAAGGCCGAGCACCUGGCCCUCUGGAGACAAGGACAUGGCCAUUCCUCAGAGGUCCUUCCCCUGACAAGCUGGGCCCCCUGUUGUGGGGCGCACCACUGGACAUGGUAGGGGAGUGGUGGCGGCCUUGCCCGAAGGCAGGCUGCGGGAGGGGCGGGGCUGGCUCACCACAGUUGGUUGAUUCAAGUGAGGCCUGGGGUCCUGCUCUCCUUCCAGCUUCCAUCUCAGGAUGGCUCUCAGCCCCCCACAUUGAAGACCAAGAAGGUGAGGGGCAAACCAAGGGCCCUGCCUAUGGAAGCUUCCUGUGAUGGGCUGCAGGUAGCAGGGGCUGGAGAGGGCUGUGGUUGGGGCCACACCAGGCUCCCCCAACCUGAGCAUCCUGGAAGGUGACAGCUCACCCUUGGCAGUGGCAACCCCCAGGCCAGCAGCCCCAUCUGAGGACAGUUGUCUUCAGUGCCAUUGGCUGUGGCAGCACAGAUGGGGGGUGUGAAGACCUGAGGCCCUGCGACUGUAGCACCUACAGCCACUGGAGCCAGCUCUGCACAACUCAGACCUGGGUGGCGAGGACAUAGCUUUGCAGGUGGGCAGCCACAUCCCAGGGGGAGCCUGCAGGCCAGUGGCAGGGUGGGGGCAGGCAGAGCAGGGUCUCCCCACUGUUGCCGCUGGGCUCCUGCGGCUUGUGGAGAAAGAUGGGUGGGCCCACACAUAUUGCUGCUCCCUGGAUCUGAGCCUCGGUUUCCCUACCUGUGAAACGGGUACCCAUGGCAGCUCAGAAGUGUCUGGCAGUGGGGCUGCUGGGGCACAGUCAUGGGGGACCCGAGUCCUGCUCUCCAUGUGCUCGCUUCCCUCAGUGGUCCCUGAUGCCAGCAGAACUUUCUCCCAAAAAGAGAAGGGCGUUCCUGUGAGUUCUUGUGUGGGGGGUGGGUCACAGAGCCUCUCCAAGUGCAGGGCAGGGUGAAGGGAGGCUGAGGGGUGGUUGAAUGGCCCUGGGAAGAGCUCUCUUGGGCUCCUCGUGUCUGGGUGGCCUGGGGAGCAUGCUUUUGGGCAGGCGGCUGGCAGGGCUGGUGGCUGAGCCACUGUGGCUCAGGAUCCCCAGCCCAGGCCUGAAUAGGGUAGGCAGGGAGAGGGGAGGGUGAGUGCAUGGUGCAGGACAGUGUGUCUCCUGGACAGAAACAGCCCUGGUCACUCACGGCCAUGGCAUAGCCAUGGCUACAGGAAAGUGCUGCUGUGUGUUGCAGCCCCUGGGGCCGGCUCCCAAUGGACACCCAGCAGCAUCUCCCCCACUGUGCUGAGGGGAGUUGUGCCAGUGGGGUGCUGGCAGCAGUCCUGGGAACUGGGGGAAGAGCCUUGGCAAGCCCAUCCCUCCUCGGGCAUCAGGGAUGGGCUCACGUGACCAAUUUCUCCCAUGGAAGAUGUUUGGGGUGUGCCCAGAAAAUGGGGAGGGCCCUGUGGGGCAGGAUUGUAUUAUUAAAUCCAGAAAGUCUGGGGUUCCAUUUUUAGCACAAGGCAGGCAGCCCACGUGCCCCAGCCCAGUGGCCAGCCUGUGUGGGAGAGGGGAGUGGGGGCCAGAGGGAGUGAGGCUUCUGUUACUGCAGCCAGCCAGGGUGGCCAGUGUGGACUGGACAGCGGGCACUGCACCAGGGGCACUGGUACUGACCUUGGGCCAUGCACCUGAUGCCUGUGAGAGUGAUCUCUAGGAACCACUGCACAAGGGGGCAGAUGAGGGAACCCUGACAUGGGACAGCUGAGGGUUACGCCAACACGGGGGGGAAAGCUGUGUCCAGGCUCCACCGGACUCCGCCGAGGACAGAGCACUGCCCUGACUCUAGGGUGCGGGGUCACUGAGGGUUAGGACAGUCUGGAGUUGGGAGAGGGCCAUGCUGCAGCUGGGGCACAUCCCACCUGCACCUCUCUAGAUCUUGGAGAUGGGACCCCCACCCACAUGCUCCCCAGGUGGGUCCCAUCCUGGGGGGUGCAGGAGGGAGCUCCAUGUGCCCCUGCUGAUCUGCCCAUCUGAGCCUCAGGGGUCCUGGGCACUGAGAGCUGGGCUGGGCUCAGCGGGGGUAUGCAUUGACAUUGGGGACAGAGAGGGGAUGCUGAAGCGGGUGCUGUCUGGGUGGGGCCUGCCUGAUCGACCCAGCAGGUGCACCCAGCAGCCGGAGGUGCUUCUAGCAGAGUGAACGCCCUGUCCUUAGGGGCAUGUGAGCUGAGGCUGGGGGCCUGGAGCUGCAGGGGGAGGAAUUGGGGAGAGCAGAGGUCCCAAAGAUGUCCCAAGGCCCCAAGACCCUGGUGAAGGAAUGGAGGAGCCAGCAUUGGUCGGCGAGAGGGGAGUGGGAGUUGGAUGGCCUGGCUCUGGGCUGGACACACGGUUUGCAGCCACAGCUGAGCUGUGCUGUGGAGCCCAGUUCCCACCUGGGCAUGUCCUGUCCUCUGAGGCUUCCGGGAGCCGGACGGCCACCGCGGUGCAGGCGCGCACUCAAGGGCUUUCGAGGCUCACUCUGUCGGAGAGGUCAGAGACUGAGUGUCGCUGCUGAAGGCUGUGGUGGACCGGGCUGGAUCGCGGAUUCUAGGUUAGAUCGCAGAUUUGGGAUCGCGGAUUGGGGAUUGGAUUGGGGAUUUGGGGUUGGAUCAGGGAUGUGGGGGCUGGAUAGGGGAUUUGAGGAUUGGAUCGGGGAUUUGGGGUUGGAUCCUGGAUUUGGGGCCGGGUCGGCGGUGGGGGGCAGUGAAAAGGUGACAGAGAGCAGCCCCUGCUCAGGAGCCGGUGGUUGGGGGUCUGAGAAGUCACCACCACCAAGAAGUUCUUCGGCUUCGGGAGCCGCGGGGGCGAGAUGGCCCGGGCUCCAUAGACCACGUCUGCACGGUUCCGGGUACCGAAUCCGGGACGCGGAACAGCGGAAAAUCCAAGGGCGGCUGUCAAGGACCGGAGGUGGAGCGCGGCCUGGAGCGCAGGAGCCGGAGACCUGGAGGCCCGGGACAAGCAGCACAGAACUGCUCUACAUUUGGCCUGUGCCAGCGGCCAUGUGGAAGUGGUCACUCUCCUGGUGAACAGACAAUGCCAAAUUGACAUCUGUGACAAAGAAAAGAGUGUGCCUUUGAUACAGGCACAGGCUGUGCAUUGCCAAGAAGAGGCUUGUGCCAUUAUUCUGCUGGAACGUGGCGCCAAUCCAAACCUUAAGGAUGUCUACAGCAACACUGCUCUCCAGUAUGCUGUGUAUAGUGAGAGCACAUCACUGGCAAAAAAACUGCUUUCCCAUGAUGCAAAUACUGAAGCACUGGACAAGGAUCUCACUCUGUCACUCAGGCUGGAAUAAAGUGGCACAACUGUGGCUCACUGCAGCCUCAACCCCCUGAGCUCAGGUCAUCCUGCUACCUCAGCCUCUUCAGUUGCUGAGACUAUAGGCUCCCACCUCCACUCCUAGCCUCAGAUGGAGUCUCACUCUGUCGCCAGGCUGGAGUGCAGCGGCAUGAUCUCGGCUCGCUGCAAACCUCUGUCUCCCGAGUUCACGUGAUUCUCCUACCUCAGCCUCCCGAGUAGCUGGGACUACAGGCGUACGCCACAACGCCAGGCUAAUUUUUUUUUAUUUUUGGUAGAGACGGGGGUUUCACCAUGUUGGCCAGGAUGGUCUCAAUCUCUUGACCUCGUAAUCUGCCUACCUUGGCCUCCCAAAGUGCUGUGAUUACAGGCGUGAGCCACCGUGCCCAGCCCGACAUAGAUGGUUUUUUUAGGGUUACAGCGACUUCUUGUUGAAGUUGUCUCACACACCUGAUAAAGUAUUUUUGUUACUGAUUUUGUAAAUCACCUUAUUAUUAAAUUUUCAAUAAUAUCUAACUCUAACAUACACUUGGAAAAAUAUCACCUCAUACACAAUUCACCUUCUUUUCCUCAUGUGUACAUAUUCCUAUUUAUUACUGAAUCCAGUUAAGGACACAGCAGGUGUUAUCUUCCUGCCAAAUAGAUAUUCUGUUACUAGACGACAGUUUUAGCCCACCAUUCAGUCAUCUGCUGAUAAUUCGGCGAUGCUUAACAACCUGCUGAAGUCUCAAGAAAGCAGUGGAUAUGUGAGUGAGGCUGGCAGUGGUCAAUUCUACACUGAGGAACGUUUCCCUCUUUUUCCUCUUUUUUUAUUAGGAGCUCAAAUCAACCUCAGGGGUCCUCAGUUAUUCACUUGCCUGUCCAAAUCUUUCCAAUAGAUUCCUGUCUCAGAAUAAAAGAAAAAUUCCAAUGGCUUUUAAGGCCCUGUAGGUAACCUCCUGACCUCAGCUGCUAUGAGUCUCUCUCCUACUUAUGGCAUUUCUACUAUAUGUGAAUCCCACCUCCCCUCAUUUGUCUGAAAAUGAGGAUCCAAUGCCAGACUAAAAGGUCACAGAUAACUACACUUAUCAUUGCUGGACAAAGCUCUAUCCAAAUGAUGGUCAGUGAGCCUUCAAAUAAAAAUUAUAAGCAAAUUAUAUGUAAUAAUAGUAAAUUAUGUAUACCAGUGGGAAAAAUAAAUCAAAUAUGGUUUUGGUAAAAUUC